rnacentral:rRNA from 1 species
CGUGCCAGCAGCCGCGGUAAUACGUAGGUGGCAAGCGUUGUCCGGAUUUAUUGGGCGUAAAGCGAGCGCAGGCGGAAGAAUAAGUCUGAUGUGAAAGCCCUCGGCUUAACCGAGGAACUGCAUCGGAAACUGUUUUUCUUGAGUGCAGAAGAGGAGAGUGGAACUCCAUGUGUAGCGGUGGAAUGCGUAGAUAUAUGGAAGAACACCAGUGGCGAAGGCGGCUCUCUGGUCUGCAACUGACGCUGAGGCUCGAAAGCAUGGGUAGCGAACAGGAUUAGAUACCCUGGUAGUCCACGCCGUAAACGAUGA